ACACCUCAACUCUCGUGGCUUGCCAUGAUGAGCUUGGACUAUGGGGGUCUUGCUGGCCUAUGGUUGGCUCCUCUCAAAUGAAUCAGCUUGCCAGUGUUUGGUGGCGUCACAGGUGUGAUAACUAUCUACGCUUGUGGUUUUCCACCAGGUAACCUUCAGCAAUGGAGGUUCGCUGGGGCUCAUAAAUGUCUCUCCUCAGUGGGGACAGCUCUUUAAAC
rnacentral:misc_RNA from 1 species